AGCAGCCGCGGUAAUUCCAGCUCCAAUAGCGUAUAUUAAAGUUGUUGCAGUUAAAAAGCUCGUAGUUGAAUUUCGGGAUCAGUAUGUUGGUCGUGCUUCGGUACGUACUGUCAUUAUUGGUUUCUACCUUCUGAAGAACCAUGAUGUCAUUAAUUUGGUGUCAUGGGGAAUCAGGACUGUUACUUUGAAAAAAUUAGAGUGUUUAAAGCAGGCUCGCGCUUGAAUACAUUAGCAUGGAAUAAUGAAAUAGGACGUUUGAUUCUAUUUUGUUGGUUUCUAGGAUCGACGUAAUGAUUAAUAGGGAUAGUUGGGGGCAUUAGUAUUCAAUUGUCAGAGGUGAAAUUCUUGGAUUUAUUGAAGACUAACUACUGCGAAAGCAUUUGCCAAGGAUGUUUUCAUUAAUCAAGAACGAAAGUUAGGGGAUCGAAGACGAUCAGAUACCGUCGUAGUCUUAACCAUAAACUAUGCCGACUAGGGAUCGGAUGAUGUUAUUUUUUAAUGACUCAUUCGGC
rnacentral:sRNA from 1 species